CGGUGCAGAUUUGAGGACAGAUGAAGUGAACGUGUGCGUCCAUCGCGCCCGCGGUGAAGAUGUGACCCUCCCCAGCAAGCGCCUCCGUCGUCGGGCCCACAACCAUCCCGGGAGUAACACCCGCCAUGACGUCGGGGUUUCCUGCCUUUCCAAUCCCCACAAUGAACCCUGUGGCAGCGUAAGGGGCUCUGUCAGGCACGAACUCACGCAACCCGGUUCGCGCAGCACACACCUUUCUUAAUCCCAAUAUCCGCCUUGAAGAUCCCCGUCCAGUCGACCACGAGCGCGUUCGUGAUGACCAGGUCGAGCGCCUCGGCGUCCGUCACGCCGGCCGCCUGGCCCAUCCCGUCGCGCAG
rnacentral:sRNA from 1 species